UACGUAGGGUGCAAGCGUUAUCCGGAAUGAUUGGGCGUAAAGCGUCCGCAGGUGGCGAUGUAAGUCUGCUGUUAAAGAGUGAGGCUCAACCUCAUAAGAGCAGUGGAAACUACAUAGCUAGAGUACGUUCGGGGCAGAGGGAAUUCCUGGUGUAGCGGUGAAAUGCGUAGAGAUCAGGAAGAACACCAGUGGCGAAGGCGCUCUGCUAGGCCGUAACUGACACUGAGGGACGAAAGCUAGGGGAGCGAAUGGG
rnacentral:rRNA from 1 species